GUACUGGAUGGGAGUUAUACCGUUGUGACCCAUUGCUGGAAACUGAAGGAGAGCGAUCGCCAGGUUUUCGGACAGUUC
rnacentral:sRNA from 17 species